CUAAUGCCGGAUAUUGUGUCCUACUGCAUAGUAGGUUAACGAAAGAUUUAUCGUUGUGGGAUGAGCUUGCGUCCGAUUAGCUAGUUGGCGGGGUAAUAGCCCACCAAGGCGACGAUCGGUAGCCGGCCUGAGAGGGUGAUCGGCCACAUUGGGACUGANANACGGCCCANACUCCUGCGGGAGGCAGCAGUAGGGAAUAUUGCGCAAUGGGGGGAACCCUGACGCANCAUCGCCACGUGUGGGAAGAAGCAUUUCGGUGUGUAAACNACUGUCGGAAAGGAAUAACGGAAGACUUCNGUCUNUAUGAAUGUUNCUUUNANAGGAAGCACC
rnacentral:rRNA from 1 species